rnacentral:rRNA from 1 species
UACGUAGGUGUCAAGCGUUGUCCGGAUUUAUUGGGCGUAAAGCGCCCGCAGGCGGCUUGCCAAGUUCGAUGUGAAAUCUCCCGGCUCAACUGGGAGGGUGCAUCGAAAACUGGCAGGCUUGAGGCAGGGAGAGGGAUGUGGAAUUCCUGGUGUAGCGGUGAAAUGCGCAGAUAUCAGGAGGAACACCGGUGGCGAAGGCGGGUCUCUGGGCCGAUACUGACGCUGAGGAGCGAAAGCGUGGGGAGCGAACAGG